UUCCGUCUCCCGGUGCCGUCUGCAGGGCGGGCGAGAGGCGGCCGCUGCGCCGGGCAGAGCGGGCGGGGGACAGCGGUGACGGAAAGCGGCAGCUGGGGGGGGGACGGCAGCGCUGGGUUGACUCCCUCCCCCCCUUCCCCCUCCCGGCCGGAGGAAGAUGGAGCUCGGUUAGCGAGGGCUUGCGGGAGGAGCAGCGGGAGCAGAUAAGACAGUGAAGUCUUUAACUGCUCCAGAAGAAGAGGGUCUGGAAAGAAAAUGUCUCUGGCAAAAAAGUAUCAGGCACAUGAUACUGCAGAGAUUCCAAAUCAGAAGUAAAUCAGCCAGACAGUUGCCUCCUGCCUUCCUAAACAGGCAAACAUAUUAGCAACAGAAGAAAGGGGCCUACCUACCUCAUUCCUGGAGAAGGUGGGUUUGCUGCUGUGGAUGCCUGCCUCGUUUCCUUCACCAAAAUGAGUUAGAGCAGGAGAGAAGGGAGACUUUUGCAAGCAGAGCCUAUCAUGAUUUCUCAGGGGACAAAAUUUUGCUUAUUCAUACCUUCUACUGUGGCAAAAAUGGAUUCUUUUCCUCACCAAAAACCAGCAGCAUAACACCCAUCCAACACCUGCCUCAAGGAACUCUUAUUUAA
rnacentral:lncRNA from 1 species